GAGGGGUUACAGUUUCAUAUGUAAGGCAAGUACAUUUCUUAUCCAACUUAUUACCUCCUCCCUCAUUUUCAAUGUCUCCCCCCUCCCCAGAACCCUCCCUGCCAUGAGUUGUAUGGUUAGUUUACACCAGCUGGUUUUGUAAAUAUCGCUAUUGCCAUGGCUUGUCUUUUUAUCCUUUGUCUUUCAAUUUUGGUGUUCCCUUUUCCUUCCCUAGUUCCAAUACAUGUCUAUACAGUAUCAGGUUUAUAA